UCUAAGGAUCGAUGUUUUCGGACAGCUCACGCCGUCCCAAACAUCGUCACUAGACAAUCGGCGCCUUGCCGCCGUCCUCGUUUCCCUUCCUUUUCCGUCGUGGUUUUGCGCCAAUGGGCUGCAGAACCGUUGGACGAUGCCUCAUCGGGCUUGUAGCUCAGUUGGUUAGAGCGCGCGCUUGAUAAGCGUGAGGUCGGAAGUUCAAGUCUUCCCAGGCCCACCAUCUUAGCGCCACCAGCGCUUUGUCCCGAUAACCGGGGCCAUAGCUCAGUUGGGAGAGCGCGUGCUUUGCAAGCAUGAGGUCGUCGGUUCGAUCCCGUCUGGCUCCACCAUUCGGCAGGUCUCCAGCGACAGCGACGGAAAAAUCAAACAGCUUCGAUGCGCAAGCAAUUGCGCCUCGCAAGACUUUGACAUUGUAAAGGCGGGUUAGCCGGUUCGCACAACCGGUUGAUCUAGAAUACGACACUCAAGACUGAUCGCAUGAAGCCAUAGUCUGGACUCAAACCGUGUACCAAGUCGUUGGUACGCUGGCUUUGUUUCUGGGCAUGGAACGAUUGCUGAGCGAUCAAGCGUUAAAGCAAGGGCAUCUGGGGGAUGCCUUGGCACACACAGGCGAUGAAGGACGUAGCACGCUGCGAUAAGCUGCGGUGAGGGGCGAGCACCCUUUGACCCGCAGAUCU
rnacentral:misc_RNA from 1 species